UCAGAUUGGACUGAGAAGUUCAAGGCUGAACACAAGCGACUUUCAUCUGCGAUUUAUUCAAUACAUUCAGUUUAAAUAUACUGCAAAUAUGUGUUAAAUAUCUGAUAUUGUUGUUUACAGUGCCCGGAUCGGCUCCAACAGUGGCCUUUGUGUUCCUCUGCCCAUCCUUUCCCGUGCAUGGACCGGGUGGAACGUCUCAGCGCCUCUACUUCCCAGCUACCGGCCUGUUCUACCCCUCUUUCUUCCCGAUCGCGUGGGAUGACAGGUUCGAGUACUGGGUGUGGCGUCUGCGCAGCCAUCUUGCACACCUGUGCUUCUUGGAACUGACCUGGAGACUCUACCUGAAGACCAGGUUUGCCACAUCAGCCUGCAGACAGCUGGAUCCUCCAUCAGACAUGUUGGCACAUCAUGUUGGCACAUCUGUAUCUUAUCACAGUUAAUAAAGAAAAGCUGAUUACAUGCUGCAUUUUUUAUUUUGCAACUUAUUGUGCUGUUCAUGAGGAAAAAGCAAAGCCAAUGUUUGUUUGUUUUCUUUGGGUAAUUUAUUUUAGAUUUGACUAUAAAAUACCAGUUUGUUAAAUAAAAUAAAUGACAUCUUUUUUACUUAAAUUUUAAUUUAGUCACAUAUUAUAUGAGCUUGAGUAAAACAUUUAUUGCAAAUGAAUUGAUUUGAUUUUAUUUAGAUUUUUUUCAUAAUAUUUUUACACAUGU